UUUCAGGGUUGAAGGACUAUAACUCCCAAGAUGUGCUGGGGCGCUGGGUGCUCUUUGUGGUUCACUGUCUUCGGCUGAGAUUUUGUGGCUCUGUUUUCUUUACCCCAUUCCCAUUCAGUCGCUUUGUUGUCGUUUCCUAGGAGCCGUUUGGUUGUUACUGUAUCUCGCAGUGUUUUUAGGGAGUCUGCGCUCAGUGCGACCAUUAGCCAACUUAGUACUUUGCAGCUGGACAGAUCUGCAGUGCCUGAUGCUGCUGGGCAGUGAGCUCUGGAAAAGGGAGAGAUGUCCUACAGCUGCUCCUCUGGUUGGGCACUGUCUUUGGUAACACUAGCCUAUGGAGCGAGAGAGCUCGGAGAGAAAGGGAGUAGCAGACUCACUUGCUGAGCAGAGAGCCCGACCUGGGACUUGAUCCCAGGAUCCUGAAACCAUGACCUGAGAAGAUGCUUAACUGACUGUGCUACCUAGUUGUCCUGGCUUCUUGUUUUUAAUAACAGUUUAAUAGUUUGAAAG
rnacentral:lncRNA from 1 species